rnacentral:rRNA from 1 species
UACGAAGGGGGCUAGCGUUGCUCGGAAUUACUGGGCGUAAAGGGCGCGUAGGCGGACAGUUUAGUCAGAGGUAAAAGCCCAGGGCUCAACCUUGGAACUGCCUUUGAUACUGACUGUCUUGAGUUCGGGAGAGGUGAGUGGAAUGCCGAGUGUAGAGGUGAAAUUCGUAGAUAUUCGCAAGAACACCAGUGGCGAAGGCGGCUCACUGGCCCGAUACUGACGCUGAGGCACGAAAGCGUGGGGAGCAAACAGG